AGACAUCUCCUACGGGGGCAGCAGUGAGGAAUAUUGGUCAAUGGGCGGGAGCCUGAACCAGCCAAGCCGCGUGAGGGAAGAAGGUACAGCGUAUCGUAAACCUCUUUUGUCAGGGAACAAAGGCGGGGACUAGUCCCCGGAUGAGGGUACCUGAAGAAAAAGCAUCGGCUAACUCCGUGCC
rnacentral:rRNA from 1 species